rnacentral:rRNA from 1 species
UACGGAGGGUGCAAGCGUUGCUCGGAAUUAUUGGGCGUAAAGCGCACGCAGGCGGCAGGGUAAGUCAGUUGUGAAACUCCCGGGCUUAACUUGGGAACUGCAGCUGAUAACUGCUCUGCUUGAGUACGGAAGAGGGGAGCGGAAUUCCCAGUGUAGAGGUGGAAAUUCGUAGAUAUUGGGUGGAACACCGGUGGCGAAAGCGGCUCACUGGCUCGGUUCUGACGCUGAGGCGCGAAAGCGUGGGGAGCAAACAGGG